rnacentral:rRNA from 1 species
ACACGGCUGGAAAAGUGAAACUGCGAAUGGCUCAUUAAAUCAGUUAUGGUUCCUUUGAUCGCUCACCCGCUACUUGGAUAACUGUGGCAAUUCUAGAGCUAAUACAUGCAAACGAGCGCUGACCUCCGGGGAUGCGUGCAUUUAUCAGACCUAAAACCCGCGCGGGGCGUCGCCGCGUGGCGGCCCCCGGCCUGUUUGGUGACUCUAGAUAACCUUGGGCCGAUCGCUCGCCCUCGCGGCGGCGACGACUCAUUCGAAUGUCUGCCCUAUCAACUUUCGAUGGUACUCUAUGUGCCUACCAUGGUGACCACGGGUAACGGGGAAUCAGGGUUCGAUUCCGGAGAGGGAGCCUGAGAAAUGGCUACCACAUCCAAGGAAGGCAGCAGGCGCGCAAAUUACCCAUUCACGACUCGUGGAGGUAGUGACGAAAAAUAACAAUACAGGACUCUUUCGAGGCCCUGUAAUUGGAAUGAGUGUACUUUAAAUCCUUUGGCCAGUACCAAUUGGAGGGCAAGUCUGGUGCCAGCA